AUCUAUGGCCAUACCACCCUGAACACACCCGGUCUCAUCUGACCUUGGAAGAUAAACCAUUUGGCAAAACAACAGCAAGCACUAGUAAGUUCCCCCACGGGCCCACAACUUCCCCAGCUCUAGGCU
rnacentral:rRNA from 1 species